rfam:Alligator mississippiensis ScZkoYb_8, whole genome shotgun sequence.
GGCAGGAUGGUCCAGUGAUUAGGGCCCUAAGCUAGGACUUCAGAGACCUGGGUUCAAUUCUCUGCCUUGCCA